UGGCAGUUUUGGGUAAUUACCAAUAGUAAGUUCGUUAUUCGAUAUUCGACGAACCACCACUUUAGAUCCUUACGUCGGUAUAGGUGAUUUAUUUUCUAAAAUCUGUACGUAUACACAUACAUACGUAUUAUCAUCUAUAUUCACCAAAACUCCACAACGAAAAAGAAAGUCACCAAAUUCGGUUUGGGUGCUGUGAAAAUCAAACAGCCUCAAGUUUCCAAAUUUUUACCACUGGAGAUGAUUUUCUGAUGUUCCCGAGAAGACCCUCACGCUCACCAUGGCAAUGUGAGCACUCUAGCUCCUGAAACUUGCAUAUACACAUUAAUACCCAUUUCCAUCGAGAACCCACACCGAAAGAGAAAAAAAAAACUCAUCUGGUUCGGGUUCAAUGGCCAGAAAACCCAAAAUAGCCUCGGAUUUGAUUUCUAGCUUUCAGAGAAUGGUUUCCUCAGUUCCUCGAGAGAACUCCUCACUUGCCAUGACAGUUGAGCGAUUUGGUUUCACACCUGCAUGCCCGUUAGAGUAAAACACGAAAAGGGAAUCUUGGAGAAAUGAAAAGGGACAAAACUCGCCUAUUUUCUGAACCCCGGCGUCGCAUACAACACGACUUUGGAAUCUGCCAGCAAUGCGGCAUUUCCUGGUCACAGUUCCCUUUCCCUUUCCUUCCUUCAGCCUUCUGCCUCCGUGAUACCUCUUCCUUCCUCUUCGGUCACAUUUCUUUCUCUUUUUCUGGUUUCUUUGCUCGUCUCUCUCUUGUGCGGUGUUCUCUUCUCCCUCUUGGCUCGACCCUCACUCAACUCGGCCUCCUCUCUCACCCACUCACUCAUCUCUCUUCCUUUCUCAUUUUUGGCUCUUAUUUGCUGAGUGAAAAAAUCCUAAUUUGUUCCUUUAAAUACUAAUUUCUUUAGCCAUCUGAUCUUACAAUAUUAGAUUUGGGCUGUUCAACUGGAUAUGAUUUUAAGCUGUCAGAUCUCUCACGGUGCGAUCUUGACUGUCUAUUUCCUUAUUUCUAUUUGCCCCCUUCCACUCUUAUUUAAUUAUGCAUUUUACCCCUUUUUUCUACACAUUUUUAAUUAAGUCC
rnacentral:lncRNA from 1 species